UACGUAGGGACCAAGCGUUGUUCGGAUUUACUGGGCGUAAAGGGCGCGUAGGCGGCAAUUCAAGUCAUCUGUGAAAUCUCCGGGCUUAACCCGGAACGGUCAGAUGAUACUGCUUUGCUAGAGUGCGGAAGGGGCAAUCGGAAUUCUUGGUGUAGCGGUGAAAUGCGUAGAUAUCAGGAGGAACACCGGUGGCGAAGGCGGUCUCUGGGCAUUACCUGACGCUGAGGAGCGAAAGUGUGGGGAGCGAACAGG
rnacentral:rRNA from 1 species